UCUCUGGUAGUCUAUCGGUUAGUACACGCGCCUGUCAGGCUUACAUAUUGAACAACUCACGUUCCACGCGAAAGCUGGGUUCCACUCCCAGCCAGAGAG